GUAGGAUCCAAGCGUUAAUCGGAAUUACUGGGCGUAAAGCGUGCGCAGGCGGUUGUGCAAGCCCGAUGUGAAAUCCCCGAGUCUAACUUGGGAAUUGCAUUGGUGAUUGCGCGGUUAGAGUGUGUCAGAGGGGGGUAGAAUUCCACGUGUAGCAGUGAAAUGAGUAGAGAUGUGGAGGAAUACAGAUGGGGAAGGCAGUCUCGUGGGAUAACACUGACGGUCAUGCAGGAAAGUCGUGGGGAGCAAACAGGAUUAGAUACCCUGGUUGUCCACGCCUAUAAAGAGAUGUCAAUAUAGUUGUUGGGGAUUCAUUUCGUUAGUAACGUAGCUAACGCGUGAAGUUGACCGCCUGGGGAGUACGGUCGCAAGAUUG
rnacentral:rRNA from 1 species